rnacentral:tRNA from 1 species
GCCUCGGUGGCGGAAUUGGCAGACGCUCAUGGUUGAGGGCCAUGUCCCCGCAAGGGGGUGGAGGUUCGAGUCCUCUCCGAGGCA